rnacentral:sRNA from 1 species
GUCGCCGCCUACCGCCGCCGCCGCAGGGCCCGCCGCUGGGAUGCCGAGCGCCCGCGCCGCCGCUGCCUCUGUCCUCCGCGCGCUGCUCAGCUGAAGGCGCACAGGAUUCAAUUACUGGACUUGUCAACUCUGCCAGUGUACGUGCCAUUUCUCUUCCACUAUGAGAGGAUCGAUUGUAUUGCAUAUUUGUCUGGCUUUCUGUAGCCUUCUGCUUUUCAACGUUGCCACACAAUGUCUGGCCUUCCCCAAAAUAGAAAGGAGGAGGGAGAUAGCACAUGUUCAUGCGGAAAAAGGGCAGUCCGAUAAGAUGAACACCGAUGACCUAGAAAAUAGCUCCGUUACCUCAAAGCAGACUCCCCAACUGGUGGUCUCUGAAGAUCCAAUGAUGAUGUCAGCAGGACCAUCGGCAACAUCAUUAAAUAAAGCAUUCUCGAUUAACAAAGAAACCCAGCCUGGACAAGCUGGGCUCAUGCAAACUGAACGCCCUGGUGUUUCCACUGCUACUGAGUCAGGUGUCCCCUCAGCUGAAGAAGUAUUUGGUUCCAGCCAGCCAGAGAGAAUAUCUCCUGAAAGUGGACUUGCCAAGGCCAUGUUAACCAUUGCUAUCACUGUGACUCCUUCUCUGACUGUUGAUGAAAAGGAGGAACUCCUUACAAGCACUAACUUUCAGCCCAUUGUGGAAGAGAUCACAGAAACCACAAAAGGUUUUCUGAAGUAUAUGGAUAAUCAAUCAUUUGCAACUGAAAGUCAGGAAGGAGUUGGUUUGGGACAUUCACCUUCAUCCUAUGUGAAUACUAAGGAAAUGCUAACCACCAAUCCAAAGACUGAGAAAUUUGAAGCAGGCACAGACCACAGGACAACUUCUUUUCCUGGUGCUGAGUCCACAGCAGGCAGUGAGCCUGGAAGCCUCACCCCUGAUAAGGAGAAGCCUUCACAGAUGACAGCUGAUAACACCCAGGCUGCUGCCACCAAGCAACCACUCGAAACUUCCGAGUACACCCUGAGUGUUGAGCCAGAAACUGAUAGUCUGCUGGGAGCCCCAGAAGUCACAGUGAGUGUCAGCACAGCUGUUCCAGCUGCCUCUGCCUUAAGUGAUGAGUGGGAUGACACCAAAUUAGAGAGUGUAAGCCGGAUAAGGACCCCCAAGCUUGGAGACAAUGAAGAGACUCAGGUGAGAACGGAGAUGUCUCAGACAGCACAAGUAAGCCAUGAGGGUAUGGAAGGAGGCCAGCCUUGGACAGAGGCUGCACAGGUGGCUCUGGGGCUGCCUGAAGGGGAAACACACAUGGGCACAGCCCUGCUAAUAGCGCAUGGGAAUGAGAGAUCACCUGCUUUCACCGAUCAAAGUUCCUUUACCCCCACAAGUCUGAUGGAAGACAUGAAAGUUUCCAUUGUGAACUUGCUCCAAAGUACGAGAGACUUCACGGAAUCCACCAAGGAAAACGAUACCCUGUUUUUCUUAGAAACCACUGUUUCUGUCUCUGAAUAUGAGUCUGAGGCAGACCAACUGUUGGGAAAUACAAUGAAAGACAUCAUCACUCAAGAGAUGACAACAGCUGUUCAAGAGCCAGAUGCCACUUUAUCCAUGGUGACACAAGAGCAGGUUGCUACCCUCGAGCUUAUCAGAGACAGUGGCAAGACUGAGGAAGAAAAGGAGGACCCCUCUCCUGUGUCUGACGUUCCUGGUGUUACUCAGCUGUCAAGAAGAUGGGAGCCUCUGGCCACUACAAUUUCAACUACAGUCGUCCCUUUGUCUUUUGAAGUUACUCCCACUGUGGAAGAACAAAUGGACACAGUCACAGGGCCAAAUGAGGAGUUCACACCAGUUCUGGGAUCUCCAGUGACACCCCCUGGAAUAAUGGUGGGGGAACCCAGCAUUUCCCCUGCACUUCCUGCUUUGGAGGCAUCCUCUGAGAGAAGAACUGUUGUUCCAUCUAUUACUCGCGUUAAUACAGCUGCCUCAUAUGGCCUGGACCAACUUGAAUCUGAAGAGACGGGGUUUCACCAUGUUGCCCAGGCUCGUCUCAAACUCCUGGGCUUAAGAAGUCUUCCUGCCUCGGCCUCCCAAAGUGUUGGAAUUACAAGUGUGAACUCCUGCACCCAGCCAAGAAAAUAUUUAAACAGCUGCCUGAAAUGGAAAUUGAAUCCAAAACAUUUUGCCACUGGUGUUUGAAGUGGACUAUCUUGUCUCAAGCCUUUUUAUUUUCUCAUGAAUGUACCUUCUAAAUAUUGUUAAGGCUACAAUGGAGGAAAUUUUAAAUUAUUAUAUUUACUAUUUUACAGUGAGUGGAAAAUUUGAAAUUUAGUAAAAAGUUUUCAAGAAAUUUUUAUAGAUUAAUAAUGGAGUUUAAAAAGUCAUGGCGAUGAGGCAUUUA